rnacentral:rRNA from 1 species
GGAUGAACGCUGGCGGCGUGCCUAAUACAUGCAAGUCGAGCGAACAGACGAGGAGCUUGCUCCUCUGACGUUAGCGGCGGACGGGUGAGUAACACGUGGAUAACCUACCUAUAAGACUGGGAUAACUUCGGGAAACCGGAGCUAAUACCGGAUAAUAUAUUGAACCGCAUGGUUCAAUAGUGAAAGACGGUUUUGCUGUCACUUAUAGAUGGAUCCGCGCCGCAUUAGCUAGUUGGUAAGGUAACGGCUUACCAAGGCAACGAUGCGUAGCCGACCUGAGAGGGUGAUAGGCCACACUGGAACUGAGACACGGUCCAGACUCCUACGGGAGGCAGCAGUAGGGAAUCUUCCGCAAUGGGCGAAAGCCUGACGGAGCAACGCCGCGUGAGUGAUGAAGGUCUUCGGAUCGUAAAACUCUGUUAUUAGGGAAGAACAAAUGUGUAAGUAACUAUGCACGUCUUGACGGUACCUAAUCAGAAAGCCACGGCUAACUACGUG